rnacentral:lncRNA from 1 species
UGAACCCUGCUCCUGUGGAGGCUAUGAGUGACACCAGUGAUGCUGUUAAACAAGGACAGUCCGGUUCAUGGAUUGUGACAACGCACGCUGACAUCAAGCAGACCCUGCCGUCAGGUACAGAGGGCACCACAGUGACCAGGAACUGCUGUCCUUUCAUACCAGGUUUUAGGAGACUUUACCAGAAGGAAUGGAAAAUGCUGGUGGGCAGUAAGAUUGAAACAGCAUCUGAGGACUGGUUCUGCACAAAACCUUAAAUUCUUCAAGGACUUUGACAUUUGUUUAUUCUUGUAACAAAUUAAAACCUAUCCUGUGUGUUGGUUAGAGAUCUUCAAACUGUAAAUACCUUGAGGCAGGAGUGAGGUUUUUAUCUUCUAAAGGACAGGCCCCUACUCUCCUACGUAAUGAGUUUCUAAAAAUGGAUGUGAGCACCA